CUUUUCCACUGGACUCCUACAGAUCCACUUCCCAAAACUCUUCCGUGCUGCAUGAAGAGGAAGAUGAGCAUUCCUGCAGCGAGUCGGAGACACAGCUCUCUCAGAGACCGUCGGUUCAGCAUCUCGGAGAGGUGACUGGCGCUUGCUCCAUGUCCUGUUGUGUCCCCCCACAACCCCCAGGAAUGUGGUGUGACUCCAGAAAGUGAGAAUCUCACCUUGUCGUCAUCUGGAGCUAUUGACCAGUCGUCUUGCACAGGGACGCCUCUGUCAUCCACUAUUUCCUCCCCAGAAGGCCCUGCCAGCAGCAGCUUGGCCCAGUCUGUCAUGUCCAUGGCAUCCUCCCAGAUCAGCACUGACACCGUCUCCUCCAUGUCUGGCUCCUACAUCGCCCCUGGCACUGAAGAGGAGGGAGAGGCUCUCUCUUCCCCCCAGCCUGCCAGCAGGGCCCCCUCAGAAGAAGGAGAGGGGCUGCCAGCGGAGUCUCCAGACAGCAACUUUGCUGGCCUCCCAGCUGGAGAGCAGGAUGCAGAGGGAAAUGAUGUUAUAGAGGAAGAGGAU
rnacentral:lncRNA from 1 species